rnacentral:rRNA from 1 species
GACGAACGCUGGCGGCGUGCUUAACACAUGCAAGUCGAACGGAAAGGCCCUGCUUUUGUGGGGUGCUCGAGUGGCGAACGGGUGAGAAACACGUGAGUAACCUGCCUUUGACUUUGGUAUAACUUCAGGAAACUGGGGCUAAUACCGGAUAGUAGCUCCUGCUGCAUGGUUGGUGUUGGAAAGUUUCGGCGGUUGGGGAUGGACUCGCGGCUUUUCAGUUUGUUGGUGGGGUAGUGGCUUACCAAGGCUUUGACGGGUAGCCGGCCUGAGAGGGUGACCGGCCACAUUGGGACUGAGAUACGGGCCAGACUACUAAGGGAGGCAGCAGUGGGGAAUAUUGCACAAUGGGCGGAAGCCUGAUGCAGCAACGCCGCGUGCGGGAUGACGGCCUUCGGGUUGUAAACCGCUUUCGCCUGUGACGAAGCGUGAGUGAAGGUAAUGGGUAAAGAAGCACCGGCUAACUACGUG